rnacentral:lncRNA from 1 species
AUGACUAUACUGGCUCCAAAUAGUGCSUUCUUUCAGCAUUACUUACAUGAAUCUCUUGUUGUCUCUUUUAACCAUCUCCGACGCUUAGGUGUUGGAUAUCUGGAAACUGAAGACAGACUAACCGCUGAAGCAAAGAGAAAAGGUUGGGGCUGCCUUAUAACUGAAGAAAAAACUUCCUGCCCUCUGGCACAAAAGUUACCAAACCUUAUCGCAAGGAACUACUCUGAGUUCCUUAAACUGUUCAAGCAAACGCGAGGGCUCACAGCCUYACACUCAGCACUGAGUGCUCUCAAGAGCUAUAGCCCAACUGAGCUGGAAAACUCCUUGAGCAGGUGUAAUCUUUCAAUAUGUUUGUUAUGGACUGCACCCUUGCCUGAUGCUGAUGAAAAGACCCCUGAUGUAGAAGUGAAAGCUUUGCCAUUUUGAGGAGCAAUAGCAAGAACAUGAGAUGAGACUUGAUCAUUUUCUAAAUGUGAUGUAACUGCAGAUGCCUGAACCCAACCACCUGGGAGCUGCCUCACAGCUACUAGUUUUGAUGCGCUACAUAGAAAUAAGCAGGUAUCAGGUUCGGGGAAGCUGUCACUAUGCUGUGCUCGGAGUCGCAUUGCUCUCGGAGGACACCUGGUGGAAGCACUCUCAUCCACAAAGCCUCCUUUAUGGUGCCUGGACCACAGGGAUAUGUUUGCCUGGAAGCUGCCAAGCAAAGGAUGGUUUUGACUCUUAAGGAAGACGCUGGCAAGUCAUUGACUAGAGUUGGGCAUAGGUGUCCCCCUGAGUUUUGAGACUGCUUUCCCUGUAAUGGUACUGAGCGUGCAGAAAAUCACAGCAGGGAGCAGAGGAGGCAGGUGGAAGAUGGUUUAUUGUGUCCAGGAGUAUGAAUGCAGUGGACUAGACUCUGCAAAACUGCAGAUGAGAUAUCCUGAAUCAUGAAUAUUCCUAAUCACCAUUGCAUGUGAAAGUGUGAAUGUAAAGGCUUCUGCGUGUGGCCAUGGUAUCUAGAAAUGUAAACCGAGCUUUCUAUUUAAUAAGGUGGCUUGAGACCCUUUUCUUCUUCCAGACGUGGAAGCAGGCACUUGAUUGCAGUUUUCCAGGUAAAAAUAUUGAAUCCAAAUUGUUGUUAUACAGCUGCGUUUCAACGCAAACAUAUGUGAUGCUUGUAUAGCACUCACCAGGUACAUAAAACCAAMUCAAAUGGGCAUUUUGAAAUACUAGCUCAAAAUCUCGUCCAUCAAAAUACCGUGUUCCUCGGGAGGAAGCUGUUGCAAGCAAUAUUUUUGUGGAGCGCAAGGAGCUGCACAGUCUCCUCCUGAACACACACGCAGCAUCUCUUCUGCAGCAAUACCUCUGGGUUUAAUUUUCAGCUCAUCCUUUCUCUUAAGAACUUGAGGUAGGCAUUUAAAAAUGAGCCUGCCAAAUUGGUGUCUCAA